rnacentral:lncRNA from 1 species
CUUUGAAAAGGCUCACCUGCACCUUGGUUAAAAGCCCCAAGCUUAUUCCAACAUGCAGUGUCUGUCAGGAAGCUCAAACUGAGAAUAAAAUUCCUCUGUGACCUUACUGCCCACUGAAAUUGCCAGAUGAGUGAAGAAAUGUCAAUUGAAACAAAGAGUGGCUAAAGGGAAAGCCUGUAUUAAUUCAAGUUCUACAGACUCUUACAACAAGUAGGGAAAAGAAUUUUAACCCCGGUGUUCUGAUGAAAUUCCAGACUCUGUAAUUACAUUAGCUCUGAAGUCCACCUGCAGUUUUAAUAUAAAAAGCUGUUCUGCUUCGAGCUGUCGCCUGCCAUGCAGUUACGCUGCUCAGUGUCAAACAGGUGCUGGAGUUCAUCAGACAGGUAAAAGGCUUCAUGAGGGCUACAAGGGCUGCUGAGGAGCUGCAGUGCCAUGCCCUUGCUGUUCAUUCCUGCCUUGAGGUGGAACUAAAGAUCAUCAGCCGACUCAUAUGGAGAACUGUGAUGCUGUCUCUUCCAGAGGCUCAUUAG